AACGCCAGGGCACACCAUUCAGAGACUCUGAUGUUACACAACCCCGCAGCCAUGAUAUGGUGUCCCCUGCUGCAUACCCUCUGCCAGGCGAUCUGGGAUCUCAGCUUGGUAUUUGCAACCAACUCGAAUCUCCCCCUGAUCAGCUAGAAGUGUCUUCUGCACAGGAUCAAACACCAGUGAGUAAAAAAAGCAGUCCUGGAGAUGGAAAGAGAGAAGGUACUGGCUCAAGAUAUCUGUCUCAUUCAAGAGGGUCACACUGCAUUUCCCCCUACAGGAGAGAGGUCAGAAAACCCUGGGGAAGAGCUGCUGAGAGUACAAAGACUGCCACAGAAAUACAUCACAGACCCAGGUGCCACGGCUCAGACACCACUCAUACAGCACAAAUCUGCUCACAUGAGACCCAGCAAGAAGAUCCCACCUGUCUCUUGCUAAACUAGCCUGGGGUCCAGAAAUCCAAAUUAAAUAAAUGA